rnacentral:rRNA from 1 species
CCCUACGGGGCGCAGCAGGCGCGAAAACUUUACAAUGCUGGAAACAGCGAUAAGGGGACCUCGAGUGUCAGGUUACAAAUCUGGCUGUCGUGAUGCCUAAAAAGCAUUGCAUAGCAAGGGCCGGGCAAGACCGGUGCCAGCCGCCGCGGUAACACCGGCGGCUCGAGUGGUAACCGUUAUUAUUGGGUCUAAAGGGUCUGUAGCCGGCCGGAUAAGUCUCUUGGGAAAUCUGGCAGCUUAACUGUCAGGCUUUCAGGAGAUACUGUCUGGCUCGAGGCCGGGAGAGGUGAGAGGUACUUCAGGGGUAGGGGUGAAAUCCUGUAAUCC